CGCGGGAACACGCGUAUGUGUGUGCGGGGGGGCAGGUCACUCGCCACCCCUCCUUCUUUCCUUAAAAAUACCGCGCGUGCGUGCGUGCGCGUGCAAGCUCAGAACCUAGCAGCCGUUAGCUGGCUGGCUGCACGCUCCGCGCGGCGGGUGGAGCCGCUGCCGCUAAGCAGAGGGGGGCGCUAGGCUCGGACACUCCGCCGGCGACCUCCGGGCUUCCUGUGGAGUUGUACUGAAGUGAACCGGGGAGGGCAGCGCCAGGCAGCGGGCUAGGCUAAAGCUUAGCUCGGCUCAGCUAAAUACUUUUCUACACGGUCCGUCAGCGCUCAACAGUCCCGUACACACAUUCAUACAUUGAUGGCGGCUCCGCUGCUGCACACUGGUGUCAACCUCGACCACCAGAAACAAAGUCGGGUUCAGGAUCUUUCCCAUGGACACCGACAGCAUGGGCAGGAAAGGCGAGAACCAAACCUAACAGAGCUAACAACACAAAUUGCUGUUGAGCGUAUGGAAGACGGACUGCAUGGGGGAGAGGCUCCUUACCAGAAAAAAGAGUGGUGAAGCGAGGACUGCACUGCUUCAUCCAGCAACAUAAUUCACCUGAACUCCGAACAACCUGUCAACAGUUUCUUCUAAAGUGCUCACCUGACACCCCCCUCCCACCCCAACACUUGACUUGGAGUCUUCUACCAGGUCCUCUCCAGAGCAGCGUGAUGCUCCUGCAGGAGGAGGAGCUGCUGAAAGGAUCAUCUUCUCCAGAGGUUUAGAGGUCUAAAUGAUGGAGCUGAAAGUUCAUCUUGACUUGAACAGGCUGUUAAAUUCUGUCAUUAUCCAGGUCAGCUGUUUUUAGGCCAAAGCUCAGAUGAGCUCUUCUUCGGUUCAGCUCUGUCUGUCUGCGAUCAGCUGGUUUGCUUUCGUGGUUUUUUUGUGUGCAGGCUGACGACGGCCCUUCCUGCACCCCCGGCAUGGCGUGGGAGUUCAUUGAUUAACCUAUACGGAGUCUUUGGAGUGGGACCAGGCUCUGCUUCCUUUGGGGGCAUUAAACCUUUGGGUUGGA